ACUCCUACGGGAGGCAGCAGUGCGGGAAUUUUGGACAAUGGGCGAAAGCCUGAUCCAGCAAUGCCGCGUGCAGGAAGAAGGCCUUCGGGUUGUAAACUGCUUUUGUACGGAACGAAAAGGCUCUCUCUAAUACCGGGGGGUCAUGACGGUACCGUAAGAAUAAGCACCGGCUAACUACGUGCCAGCAGCCGCGGUAAUACGUAGGGUGCAAGCGUUAAUCGGAAUUACUGGGCGUAAAGCGUGCGCAGGCGGUUUUGUAAGACAGAUGUGAAAUCCCCGGGCUCAACCUGGGAACUGCGUUUGUGACUGCAAAGCUGGAGUGCGGCAGAGGGGGAUGGAAUUCCGCGUGUAGCAGUGAAAUGCGUAGAUAUGCGGAGGAACACCGAUGGCGAAGGCAAUCCCCUGGGCCUGCACUGACGCUCAUGCACGAAAGCGUGGGGAGCAAACAGGAUUAGAUACCCUGGUAGUCCACGCCCUAAACGAUGUCAACUGGUUGUUGGGAAUUCACUUUCUCAGUAACGAAGCUAACGCGUGAAGUUGACCGCCUGGGGAGUACGGCCGCAAGGUUAAAACUCAAAGGAAUUGACGG
rnacentral:rRNA from 1 species